rnacentral:lncRNA from 1 species
GCAGAGAAUAAUCAUAUUCCCUGCCUUCCUGGGGUCAUACAGCUUGGUGGAGGACACAGAUGUGAAUUCGGUAAUCACUCCAAUAAAUAUUCUCCUACAGAUGAAGAAAGAUGAUACGAUGUGAUGGACAACAGAGACUUAUAUGGUGGGGUCUGGGCUGGUCUUUCUGAAGCUAAGACUGGCAGGAUGAGCAGGAGUUUGCCAGACAAAGAGGAGUGGAGUUGUUUUCCAAACACAUCUCAGCACAAAGUGUUGUCUUUGCUGGGAGCUGAAAAAAGAUAGUGUGGGCAGAGACCAUUAGGUGAGACGCUUGAUAUGAGAUACAACCUCAACAGGUGGAAGAAGAUCAUGAGAGAUGAAGAGAGGAAUAUAGUACAGCAGAGAGGACACAGAAGCUGACGUCAGGGUGUCUCAGUUUGAAACCAGUGGCCACCCUGUUCCUCUCCCAUGUGGUCCCAUCAUGGGCCUCUAGGGUCUGGGAUAAGAGGUUAAUGAAUAUCUCAUACCCUAAGCAGGGGUGGUCCCUGCACUUUAGCAAAAAGUUAAGGAACUAGGGAAAAGAGAUGGAAAUAAUAAAGAGAUGGGACAAAGACUUUGAAGACCAAAGCCCCUGGGCUAUUCUCUUUUUUAAAUUUUUUUAUUUAAAUUUUCAUUUAUUUUUAUCAAGAUAGGGUCUCACUAUGUUGCCCAGGUUGGUCUCAAACUUUUGGCCUAAAGCAAUCCUCCCACCUUGGCCUCCCAAUGUGCUGGGAUUACAAUGUGAGCCACCACGUCCAGCCUCCUGGGAUAUUUCUCAAUGAAACAUUGGAUGCCAAGAUUGGUUUUGUGCCACAUGCCAAUUUCACAGAAGCCAGUCUAUGAGCCACCAGCUCUACUCAGCAAUUACAGUUUCUGGAACUUUGGCUAAAUUCCUGUAGAUGCACCACUGCUUGUGGCCUGACUCUUUGCCACCCAAGUGCGCUCAGCCUCCCCUGGGGAGUCUGCCAGGCUUGCAUGGCUCCCACUGCACUUGCUGUGCUGGGACCGAAAACAGUUUUUGUGCCCCUAGCUUAACUCCACUGGAUUCAUAGAGGCUUUGGCCUCCUCAAUGGCUGUCCUGGGACAGGGAGGCUGGUUAGCACAAUUAACACAACCUGGUCAUGCAAGGCAUUGAUGGUCCGUAACAUGAACUUUGACCAGUAGGAGACAGAGAAUGGAAAAAAGCCAGCAGAUAAAUCAUCUGGCCUUCCUCCCCUAUGACAGACUGUUCUGAGCCACAGUGUUUCACAUGUCUUCCUGGAGAUGUCCCACAUGACUUGAGCAACCAGCUGGAGCUCUGGAGAAACUGUGGCCAUCCUGAGGAAGAAACAGGCCCAGAGAAGUUGGGUAACUCAUCAAAGGUCACAGAGCUAAGAGUGGCAGAGUCAGGCCUGGAGCCCAGGAAGUCUGGUUUCGAAUUUCAUGCUUCUAACCUGAGCACUGUACUGCUUGGUGGAGUUCUCUGCUAGUCCUACCUUUCAGGCAGAGGUGAUGCAGCAAGAAAGCUGCCACCAGAUGCAGCCCCUUGAUCUCGGACUGCCCAGCCUCUAGAACUGAGUUGAAGAGCAAUUCCCUCCAGUUUCCAUUAGAAAUGCUUCUUCUUCCAUAUCAAAUAUUGUGAGAUAGCCUGAAACACCUUUCAACACUUUACUACCCUUCUCCAAAAUUCAACAGAUAUGAUUUCCACGGACUUUACUCACAGGGGCUUCAGUAGAAGAGGAAGAGGCUUGGGUUUAAUUGAAGGUGGCCUGAGACAUCUGUGAGGAACAGCCCUUUUAGAGACAUAUCCCCUACAAAUAAAGCAUCAGAAUUAUUAUCCUAAUACAUGAACAUCCAUGGUUCCUUCAGCACCAUCGUAAUGCAGAGACCAUGGGGAGAUGCAGGGAGAGGGCUCUGCACAGCAUGGCCAACUUGCCGGGUUGAAAACAGACAACCUCCAUGGAGCAGGGACUUCAAUUAGUUAAUUCCCCAUCCCCACUGUCACUUACUAACAUGGGAUUCUGAUUAAAAAUUAGAUUCUCUGCAA